UUGUUGGUUUUAUCUGAACCCAAGGUAAUGACUAAGAGAGACAGUCGGGGGCAUUUGUACUGUGACGCUAGAGGUGAAAUUCUUGGACCGUCACAAGACAAACAACUGCGAAAGCAUUUGCCAAGGAUGUUUUCAUUAAUCAAGAACGAAAGUUAGAGGUUCGAAGGCGAUCAGAUACCGCCCUAGUUCUAACCAUAAACGAUGCCAACCAGCAAUCCGCCGGGGUUAUUCCCAUGACCCGGCGGGCAGCUUCCGGGAAACCAGAGUCUUUGGGUUCCGGGGGAAGUAUGGUUGCAAAGCUGAAACUUAAAGGAAUUGACGGAAGGGCACCACCAGGAGUGGAGCCUGCGGCUUAAUUUGACUCAACACGGGAAACCUCACCAGGCCCGGACACUGGAAGGAUUGACAGAUUGAGAGCUCUUUCUCGAUUCAGUGGGUGGUGGUGCAUGGCCGUUCUUAGUUGGUGGAGUGAUUUGUCUGGUUAAUUC
rnacentral:rRNA from 1 species